AGUAAGAAUCAGCAGCGCGGGCAAGGAGUACGGACGGGAGUCAGAGGCAGAGCGAGGGUGUGUGGAGGGCCGGCGGGGACCGCCGGGAGCGCGCGGAUGUCGGUGUUCCUGGGGCCAGGGAUGCCCUCUGCAUCUUUAUUAGUAAAUCUUCUUUCAGCUUUACUCAUCCUAUUUGUGUUUGGAGAAACAGAAAUAAGAUUUACUGGACAAACUGAAUUUGUUGUUAAUGAAACAAGUACAACAGUUAUUCGUCUUAUCAUUGAAAGGAUAGGAGAGCCAGCAAAUGUUACUGCAAUUGUAUCGCUGUAUGGAGAGGACGCUGGUGACUUUUUUGACACAUAUGCUGCAGCUUUUAUACCUGCUGGAGAAACAAACAGAACAGUGUACAUAGCAGUAUGUGAUGAUGACUUACCAGAGCCUGACGAAACUUUUAUUUUUCACUUAACAUUACAGAAACCUUCAGCAAAUGUGAAGCUUGGAUGGCCAAGGACUGUUACUGUGACAAUAUUAUCAAAUGACAAUGCAUUUGGAAUUAUUUCAUUUAAUAUGCUUCCCUCAAUCGCAGUGAGUGAGCCCAAGGACAGAAAUGAGUCUAUGCCUCUUACUCUCAUCAGGGAAAAGGGGACCUAUGGAAUGGUCAUGGUGACUUUUGAGGUAGAGGGUGGCCCAAAUCCCCCUGAUGAAGAUUUGAGUCCAGUUAAAGGAAAUAUCACCUUUCCCCCUGGCAAAGCAACAGUAAUUUAUAACUUGACAGUACUCGAUGACGAGGUACCAGAAAAUGAUGAAAUAUUUUUAAUUCAACUGAAAAGUGUAGAAGGAGGAGCUGAGAUUAACACCUCUAGGAAUUCCAUUGAGAUCAUCAUUAAGAAAAAUGAUAGUCCCGUGAGAUUCCUUCAGAGUAUUUAUUUGGUUCCUGAGGAAGACCACAUACUCAUAAUUCCAGUAGUUCGUGGAAAGGACAACAAUGGAAAUCUGAUUGGAUCUGAUGAAUAUGAGGUUUCAAUCAGUUAUGCUGUCACGACUGGGAAUUCCACAGCACAUGCCCAGCAAAAUCUGGACUUCAUUGAUCUUCAGCCAAACACAACUGUUGUUUUUCCACCUUUUAUUCAUGAAUCUCACUUGAAAUUUCAAAUAGUUGAUGACACCAUACCGGAGAUUGCUGAAUCGUUUCACAUUAUGUUACUAAAAGAUACCUUACAGGGAGAUGCUGUGCUAAUAAGCCCUUCUGUUGUACAAGUCACCAUUAAGCCAAAUGAUAAACCUUAUGGAGUCCUUUCAUUCAACAGUGUUUUGUUUGAAAGGACAGUUAUAAUUGAUGAAGAUAGAAUAUCAAGAUAUGAAGAAAUCACAGUGGUUAGAAAUGGAGGAACCCAUGGGAAUGUCUCUGCGAAUUGGGUGUUGACACGGAACAGCACUGAUCCCUCACCAGUAACAGCAGAUAUCAGACCGAGCUCUGGAGUUCUCCAUUUUGCACAAGGGCAGAUGUUGGCAACAAUUCCUCUUACUGUGGUUGAUGAUGAUCUUCCAGAAGAGGCAGAAGCUUAUCUACUUCAAAUUCUGCCUCAUACAAUACGAGGAGGUGCAGAAGUGAGCGAGCCAGCGGAGCUUUUGUUCUACAUUCAGGAUAGUGAUGAUGUCUAUGGCCUAAUAACAUUUUUUCCUAUGGAAAACCAGAAGAUUGAAAGCAGCCCAGGUGAACGAUACUUAUCCUUGAGUUUUACAAGACUAGGAGGGACUAAAGGAGAUGUGAGGUUGCUUUAUUCUGUACUUUACAUUCCUGCUGGAGCUGUGGACCCCUUGCAAGCAAAAGAAGGCAUCUUAAAUAUAUCAAGGAGAAAUGACCUCAUUUUUCCAGAGCAAAAAACUCAAGUCACUACAAAAUUACCAAUAAGAAAUGAUGCAUUCCUUCAAAAUGGAGCUCACUUUCUAGUACAGGUACUUGUAUGAUUAAAAUAAUCGUAAUUUUGGUUAACCUUUAAGUGUACUAAUCUGUGUGAAAGAAUUAACUAAACAUUAUUUUGACCUUGUUAUUUUGCUGUCAUUUGUAUGUUGUUACUAAAAGUUGUUUAGGUAGUCGGAAGAGAGAUUAUGCCUGCUCCUAAGGUAUGUAAGUAUAAAUAAGACAAGAAUUUUUACCAAAGUUAAUAUUUUAAUUAGGUGACAUUAAAAGUACACCAGACGUGAAAUGCCAGUCAUGCAAGUCAGACUGUCAUGGAUGACAUAGUAGAGUAACUUACAAACUAUUACAGGGGAGGGCGAGAGAAAGAGAGGCUAACCAUGCUUUGAAUUGAUUUGGGAAAAUAUGACAUAGGAAUAGGAUUUGUAGGAUAAGUAUGUUUUCAUAAUGAAUAUUGCAAGGAAAAUAUUUCAGAAACAAAGCAAUAUGAGAUAUAUAUUUUUUCUUUUUUUUUGAGACAGGGUCUCACUCUGUCACCCAGGCUGGAGUGCAGUGGCGGCAUCUCAGUUCACUGCAACCUCCACGUCCCAGGUUCAAGUGAUUCUCUUGCCUCAGCCUCCCGAGUAGCUGGGAUUAUAGAUGCCUGUCACCACACCUGGCUAAUUUUUGUGUUUUUAGUAGAGACGGGGUUUUCCCAUUUUUGGCCAGGCUAGUCUUAAACUCCUGAUCUCAGAUGAUCCAUGCGCCUGAGCCUCCUAAAGUGCUGUGAUUACAGGUGUAAGCCACCACGCCUGGCCCAAGAAAAAUUUUAUAAAUACUUUUAAAUAAUAUAUUCAAAAAUCAAUUUCUUUGUCUAGGUAGACUCUCUGGACCUUCACCUGUUUACUAAAGUCCCCAUGACGUAUCCUUCCAUUUUAUACAUUUCAUUUCUUCUGUUAACCAAAAUAUUAUUUUUAUGGCCAAAGUGUAAAAUGUCUGCACUCAUUUAUGAUACUGUUGUUGUUUUCCA
rnacentral:sRNA from 1 species